rnacentral:rRNA from 1 species
AGCGAACGCUGGCGGCAGGCCUAACACAUGCAAGUCGAACGAACCUUCGGGUUAGUGGCGGACGGGUGAGUAACACGUGGGAACGUGCCCUUUGGUACGGAAUAACUCAGGGAAACUUGAGCUAAUACCGUAUGUGCCCUUCGGGGGAAAGAUUUAUCGCCAUUGGAGCGGCCCGCGUUGGAUUAGGUAGUUGGUGAGGUAAAGGCUCACCAAGCCUACGAUCCAUAGCUGGUCUGAGAGGAUGAUCAGCCACAUUGGGACUGAGACACGGCCCAAACUCCUACGGGAGGCAGCAGUGGGGAAUCUUGCGCAAUGGGCGAAAGCCUGACGCAGCCAUGCCGCGUGAAUGAUGAAGGUCUUAGGAAUGUAAAAUUCUUUCACCGGGGACGAUAAUGACGGUACCCGGAGAAGAAGCCCCGGCUAACUUCGUGCCAGCCGCCGCAGUAAAAC